rnacentral:hammerhead_ribozyme from 1 species
AUCCAGCUGAGAGCCCCAAAUAGGAUGAAACGCGAGUCCUGGAU